rnacentral:rRNA from 1 species
UACGGAGGGUGCAAGCGUUAAUCGGAAUUACUGGGCGUAAAGCGCGCGUAGGUGGUUGAAUAAGUCGAUUGUGAAAUCCCCGGGCUUAACCUGGGAAUUGCAUUCGAUACUGUUCAGCUAGAGUGUGGUAGAGGGAAGCGGAAUUCCGGGUGUAGCGGUGAAAUGCGUAGAUAUCCGGAGGAACACCAGUGGCGAAGGCGGCUUCCUGGACCAACACUGACACUGAGGCGCGAAAGCGUGGGGAGCAAACAGG